GGCUUACCAUAACGCGCUGUCUUUUAGUUUUACAAUAUUACUUAGGCUACUAAUUUGACCGCCAUUCCUACUAAUAAUGAUGCAAGCCGUGCAGCAGAGUGGAACAGGAGGACCAGAGGUACUGGGUGUGGUCGAGGUACCCAUCCCCAAACCUGGUCCACAUGAAAUCCUCAUGAAGAUACAUUCAUCAGCAAUCAACAGAGCUGAUACACUGCAGAGGCGUGGUUUAUACCCCGUCCCCCCAGGAUCAACAUCAGUAUUUGGACUGGAGGCUGCCGGAGAGGUGUAUGAUCUCGCCAACUCUACUCCUGGAAAAUGGAAGAUAGGUGACCGAGUAAUGGCCCUUCUCCCAGGGGGAGGCAAUGCACAGUAUUCAACAGCCCAUGAAGAUCAUCUGAUCCCUGUUUCUGACCACCUGACCUUCCAAGAAGCAGCUGCUAUUCCCGAAGUGUGGUUGACAGCUUUUCAGUUGCUGUACUUCAUCGCCAGCUUGAAGAAAGGGGACAUAGUCUUGAUCCAUGCUGGUGGAAGCGGUGUUGGUACAGCUGCCACUCAGCUUGUGAAGGAGGCUGGAGGCAUCCCCAUUGUGACGGCUGGUACAGAGGCUAAGCUUCAGAAGGCCCGAAGUCUAGGGGCUGCGGAGGCUUUCAAUUACAAGGAGGUGGAUUUUGCGGAGAAAGUUCUUGAGGUUACGCAAGGAAAAGGAGUGAACAUUGUCCUAGAUUGCGUCGGAGGAUCGUACUGGGAGAAGAAUGUAAAGGCUAUGGCUCCUGAUGCCACGUGGGUGCUGUAUGGAUUGAUGGGCGGACCCAAGGUAGAGGGCGCCCUUCUGGGAGCUGUUCUUCGUAAACGCAUCAGCAUCCGAGGCACCACCCUCAGACCAAGAUCAGAUGAGUACAAAGCUGAUUUGAUCAAGGCAUUCACUGAGAGGGCCCUGUUUCACUUCACACCCUCAGCUCCAGGAAAGCAACCUUAUUUCCAACCGAUCGUUGAUCGCGUCUACCAGCUAGAGGAGAUCUCGGCCGCUCACCAGUACAUGGAUGAGAAUAAAACAAUGGGCAAGGUCAUACUCAGUGUUACCCACAGUGCUAAUAAGCCUUCAGAUGAAUUAUAAGUGGUGUGUAACUGUUUUCGCACCUUGUUUUCUUCAUUUUAUGUUACAAUCAUUAAAGUCGGAUUCAAGGAGUGACAGUGAGCGGUAGUUUUAGAGAAGGUCAGAGUGACUUAAUUGUUAUAUCAUCAUGUUCUGGAAUUGCUUAAGCAAACCAAAUGUUUAGGAAAAAUGAAAAGUGGCUGAGAAGCAAUAUCUGCCUUAAAAAAAUGUUGCAUAUUACUACCCAGUACUGAUAAACACAUGUGGGCUUGUGCUUUAUAAUAUACUGUACCUUUGAAAGAAAAACAAAUCUAAUGGCAUACUGCCUUGUGUUUGUGCUAAUUACGAGUUCUUACUCCUUUUUUUUCCCUAAUCAAUUCGAGAUGUAAUAUUAAUCCAUUUGUACAUACGAAAGGUCAUUUUAUUUGAUCCUGUUAUAAUAUCGUUUGUUUCUCGGACUGGAGUUAAAAGUUGUGAUUUGGAUUAUGUCAAGCAAAUUGGCAACACACUUCAUUUGCCUCUCUUUAUUCUUUACCCUGCUGACAUUUCAUGGAUGUCAUUUAAUUCUUUUUGAAGUAUAAGAGUAGUUUGUAGGGGUGAAGCCUUGAAGAAUAUCAUCCAUUUGGUCCAAAUUCAAAUAUAGGUUGAUGAAUUAUGAAUCAAAAUCAGAACAAACUUUGUAAUAUAUUCUACUACGUUUCAACGGGAUGCAUGCAUCAUCUUCAGGCGGGGAAUGAGACUGCACUACAUUUUUGGGAGGUUUUCCUGAUCUUUCCUGACCUUUCUCACACUCAGGACAAGUCUUCGAGCCAUUUCAGAUGCCAAUUGUCCCCCUGAGCUCCUAUCGAAAGAAGAUCACGUCACAUCCUUGAAUCUGCUAAAUUUCCCCACCAAGGCCCUCGCAAACAAUCUCCAAACACUCUGCAGUCUCAUUCUGUUGCCUGACGAUGAUGGCUGCAUCCUAGCAAAACCUUGCAGACUUUUUAUAACAGUAAGUACAGAUUUCAACUCAAAAUUCUUCAGCUAUGUUGUAUGGAUUGGUUAGGGAUUGCAAAAAAUUGGAAUUUGCGAUUGAUUAAUACUUUACCACUAGGCAAAUGCCAUUUUGUACUGAUAAAUUGUACCUUCAGAUAUGGAUAUUAAUAUCUAACAUUCAAUUAUUUUCCAAGCACUUGCUCAUUUUCUGCUUGUGUCAAAUAGACCGGAUUCUAAAAUUGAUCUCACGGUCCGCCACUGCAUAUACUAUUGCCUUUUAUUCAUGUAUAUGAUUCAACAUUCAUAUUUUGGCACUUGUAGCUGAAUAUUAUUUGUGUUGUGAUUUACAGCUGUUCAAUAAAUGAUGCAGUGUCACAAAGAUUUCAACAAAGGAGACAGAGAUAUAGAAAAUGCAAUUUAUUAUUACAGAGAGCAUAACAUAACAUCUGUCAGUAUACAUGUAUGUGUGAAACAAAAAUUCAUAUAUCUGGCUACCUCAAAUCUAUACAGGUACACGGGUGCAAUUGCAAUAUCGCCCUCAACAAGGGUCCCCUGCACUGCACGUAGCUGUACUGAAAACGAGGGCAACACUCUGCCAUAUUCCACACUCUAUUUGAUCAAGAUACAAGCUUGAAAUAUGUUCUCAUCAAAACAAGUCAAUAUUAUACAUGCAUUACAUACAGCUGAAGGGAAUAUUUACAUGAUAUUAACUGUGUCUGUACUUUCAGGGCAUAUACAGUAAAGACAUAUUGCCCUUAUUUUUUACUGCCUUAUUUUCCUUUGAUUCAAGGCAACAUAUUGAUGUUCUCAGCAAAGCCAGUUGAUAUUGUAGCACAUAAUAUAUACAUGUAUACAUAUUAUGAAAAUCUAUUUUUGGGCUAAUAAACCUAUUUCUCUAAAAUAUUGCUAGAUGUGCAUUGUUGUAAGUUGUUCUAUUCAGAACCAUUGCUUACAUUUUACCUUUACAUUUCAUUAUGGUAAUAUACAAUAUUGAACACACACACAUGUGUACAUGUAUACUUUUCAAACAUUAACAACAUAAAGAUUAUGAAGUUAAUUACUCAGAAAAUAUAUCACAUAUUAUAUGAAAUAUAAUAUGAUUGCACUCCAGAAUUUCAUGUAUGAGCAAGAAAUGAUUACCUGCUUGUAUUUGUCUAAUCAGAAAAUAUAUACUGUAUGUAUUGUAAGCGAACAAUAAAUAUUUUUUGAUAUAGAUGAA